rnacentral:rRNA from 1 species
UACGAAGGGGGCUAGCGUUGCUCGGAAUUACUGGGCGUAAAGCGCACGUAGGCGGAUCUUUAAGUCAGGGGUGAAAUCCUGUAGCUCAACUCCAGAACUGCCUUUGAUACUGAGGACCUUGAGUUCGGGAGAGGUGAGUGGAACUGCGAGUGUAGAGGUGAAAAUUCGUAGAUAUUCGCAAGAACACCAGUGGCGAAGGCGGCUCACUGGCCCGAUACUGACGCUGAGGUGCGAAAGCGUGGGGAGCGAACAGG